rnacentral:rRNA from 1 species
UACGUAGGUGGCAAGCGUUGUCCGGAUUUAUUGGGUUUAAAGGGUGCGUAGGCGGCUUUGUAAGUCAGUGGUGAAAUAUGGCAGCUCAACUGUCAGGGUGCCAUUGAUACUGCAGAGCUUGAGUACGGAUGAGGUAGGCGGAAUUGACGGUGUAGCGGUGAAAUGCUUAGAUAUCGUCAAGAACACCGAUAGCGAAGGCAGCUUACUGGGCUGUAACUGACGCUGAGGCACGAAAGUGUGGGGAUCAAACAGG